GAUGAACGCUGGCGGCGUGCCUAAUACAUGCGAGUCGAGCGAACAGACGAGGAGCUUGCUCCUCUGACGUUAGCGGCGGACGGGUGAGUAACACGUGGAUAACCUACCUACAAGACUGGGAUAACUUCGGGAAACCGGAGCUAAUACCGGAUAAUAUAUUGAACCGCAUGGUUCAAUAGUGAAAGACGGUUUUGCUGUCACUUAUAGAUGGAUCCGCGCCGCAUUAGCUAGUUGGUAAGGUAACGGCUUACCAAGGCGACGAUGCGUAGCCGACCUGAGAGGGUGAUCGGCCACACUGGAACUGAGACACGGUCCAGACUCCUACGGGAGGCAGCAGUAGGGAAUCUUCCGCAAUGGGCGAAAGCCUGACGGAGCAACGCCGCGUGAGUGAUGAAGGUCUUCGGAUCGUAAAACUCUGUUAUUAGGGAAGAACAAAUGUGUAAGUAACUAUGCACGUCUUGACGGUACCUAAUCAGAAAGCCACGGCUAACUACGUG
rnacentral:rRNA from 1 species